UUUUUUUUUUAAACAUUUUUUUAAAGAUUUAUUUAUUUAUUAUAUGUAAGUACACUGUAGCUGUCUUCAGACACACCAGAAGAGGGAGUCAGAUCUCAUUACAGAUGGUUGUGAGCCACCAUGUGGUUGCUGGGGUUUGAACUCAGGACCUUCAGAAGAGCAGUCAGUGCUCUUAACCACUGUGCCAUCUCUCCAGCCCUCCUUUGGCUUUUAAGGUUAGGUCUGAGUUUGUACUACAGCUGUUACCUUUAUAAGUAGAAAAGCCAAAGGAUAACCAUCAGGCCCUGGUGUGGCUUCCCACACCAGCUCCUUAACCUGAGCAUUUGCUGGGAAAUCAGCAAAAAGAUUGAGUCACAGAAAGUGCUCCAUGUGCCGUAUGGGCCGUAUGUGACAGAUGCUAUUUCUUCCCAGUGUGCCAUCCUGAGUCUGCACAGUACUUCAGUACUUCCACUCCCCACCCGCCCUGUACUCUCCUUGGUUAUUUUUAAAGUGUGUGUUGACAUGUGUACAUCAGUUCAGGUGUUCCCAGAGGCUAGAAGCAGUAGAACCCCUGGAACUGAAGUUAUACCUGGGGUCUAGAAACUGCUCUUAAAUGCUGAGCCAUCCCUUCAGUCUCUCUCUCUCUCUCUCUCUCUCUCUCUCUCUCUUUUUUAAUUGAGAUGGGCUCUCAUUCUGCAGUCCAGGUUGGCCUUAAACUUGAAGAAGUCUUUCUUCCACCUCUCAAGUACAAUGUGCUAUAGUACUUUUGUUGUUGUUUUGACUCUGGUUCUCAACUUGCUAUAAAGAUCAGGCUGACCUCAAACUCAGAGGGAAUCUGCCUGCCUCUGCCUCCUGAGGUUGCAAUUAAAGACAACCACCAUACUCACCGGGUUCAGUACUUUUCAUACUGAUAAGCUCAUUAUGGGUUAUGAAAUCCAUGUAUUGAUAUGUCUGCAUAUUAGAUAAACAUCAGAAGAGGGUAGAAAAUGUAAUCAAAUGAAACAGAAUGUAAAGGAGGUAUAGAUCAAAGGCAGUUAGUUUGAGCCUGGUCUGAUGAUUAACCCUAGAGUCCUACCUUCCCCAGAGGCUGAGGCAGGCUCAUGGGCAGCCUGGGUAAUUUAGCUAGAUCCUGUCGAGAUAGAAAUAGAAAAUAGUACUGACUGGGUAUGUGUGCAUCAGUGGUGUUUUGUUUGCCUGGUAUGUAAGAAGCCCUAGCUUUCAUUCCCAGCCCCAGUACUGCAAACAGAAGU
rnacentral:lncRNA from 1 species